GUACUUGUCGAAAAAGACAGGUUGUCAAUGCUAUAAAGUCCCAGCCGAAGCUUCUUAACAAAAUUGAUGAAGUGGUCUCUCAUUUCCUGAAUAUAGUGCAAACUAUGCAUGAACGAUGCAGCUCUUCUUUAGAGGUUGAUAUAAUCGCAUUGGACUUCUCCCAAAAGCUACCUUUUCGUUUGAAGAUUCCACCUAUUAAGCUUGCUAUUCAGCGUGGACUAUAUUUUGAAAUUACGUAUUCUCAUCUUAUAGUUGAUUCUCAUGUCACAAGAAAGAUCCUUUCAGAUGCAAAGGUCACCGCUAGCUAAUGCCAUUAGGAAGAAACAGUUCUAUAAGGAAACUGUUAGACUUGAAAGAGCCGU